rnacentral:rRNA from 1 species
AGUGGGUACGGUCACCAGGCGACGACGGGUAGCCGGCCUGAGAGGGCGACCGGCCACACUGGGACUGAGACACGGCCCAGACUCCUACGGGAGGCAGCAGUGGGGAAUAUUGCGCAAUGGGCGAAAGCCUGAUGCAGCGACGCCGCGUGAGGGAUGACGGCCUUCGGGUUGUAAACCUCUUUCAGCAGGGAAGAAGCGAAAGUGACGGUACCUGCAGAAGAAGCGCCGGCUAACUACGUGCCA